ACAAUCCAGCCCAUGCCAGGUGCCCGCCACAGGACUAACUGAGGGGCGGGUUAAAUGGGAAGUGUGGUGAGAUACCACCGCUGCCCCCGCAACGGUAUACAGUCAAUGACUGUAAGCCCGAUACCUGCCUGGACUUUGCACCAAUG
rnacentral:ncRNA from 2 species